GGGGGUAUAGCUCAGCGGUAGAGCGCUCGCUUUGCAUGCGAGAGGCCACGGGUUCGAACCCCGUUACCUCCA
rfam:Trichoplax adhaerens TRIADscaffold_4 genomic scaffold, whole genome shotgun sequence.